rnacentral:rRNA from 1 species
GUGUCAGCAGCCGCGGUAAAACGUAGGAGGCUAGCGUUAUCCGGAUUUACUGGGCGUAAAGCGCGUGCAGGCGGUGUUCUAAGUUGGGCAUAAAAUCUCCCGGCUCAACUGGGAGGGGCUGUCCAAUACUGGGGCACUUGAGGGUAGGAGAGGGAAGUGGAAUUCCCGGUGUAGCGGUAAUAUGCGCAGAUAUCGGGAGGAACACCAGUGGCGAAGGCGGCUUCCUGGUCUACACCUGACGCUAAGACGCGAAAGCUAGGGGAGCGAACGGGAUUAGAUACCCCGGUAGUCCUAGCUGUAAACGAUGGAUACUAGGUGUUGGUGGUAUUGACCCCAUCAGCGCCGAAGCUAACGCGUUAAGUAUCCCGCCUGGGGACUACGACCGCAAGGUUAAAACUCAAAGGAAUUGACGGGG